AACGCAAAUUCACAGUUCUGCUUGCAGUGAUAGGAAAGUUUCUCUUUGAGGUUAGAUGAGAAUCGGACCCAUGACCUUGAGAUAUUUCGUUGCCCUAAUGGUUAUUGAAGGCGAACUGGAGAAUAAAUCGGUCGAUCUUGGGUGCAGCGUUCCUUGGUCUUUAUUGACCUAGAGACUGCCUUCGUGCGUUUCGUCUGGGGAAUGGUGCAAGGAUUGACUGGACAUAU
rnacentral:snoRNA from 1 species